GGCACAGGCUUUCAAUUGAAAUCAGUUACACAGCGAUAAAAAGACACAAAAAAUGGCAAGAAGCUGUUGUAUUAUUAACUGCACAAGCUGGGCGAACGACAGCCGCGUGAAGCCGACGGGAAAUGCGAUUGGUUUUUAUCGGAUUCCGGCGAGGAAGAUAAAUUUUCCAAGCCAUGUCUCUGAAGUCACGAAGAGGCGACGGAUGGCCUGGAUUGCCGCUAUCAGAAGACCUAAUAUAACGUUCGAAAACACUCCACCUCACAUGUUAGUCUGCUCCAAGCAUUUCCACAAAGGCAAACCAGCCUACGAAAUGCUGGAAUGCGAUCCAGACUGGGCACCCUCUCUCAAACUGGGCCACACAGACUUUAAAGCUUCUACCACAGCGAGA